UACAGAGGUGGCAAGCGUUGUUCGGAAUUACUGGGCGUAAAGCGCGUGUAGGCGGCUCUUCAAGUCAGGCGUGAAAGCCCCGGGCUCAACUCGGGAACUGCGCUUGAUACUGUCGAGCUAGAGUGUGGAAGGGGCGAUUGGAAUUCCUGGUGUAGCGGUGAAAUGCGCAGAUAUCAGGAGGAACACCGGUGGCGAAGGCGGUUCUCUGGGCAUGUCCUGACGCUGAGGAGCGAAAGUGUGGGGAGCGAACAGG
rnacentral:rRNA from 1 species